rnacentral:lncRNA from 1 species
AGCACGUACCGAUCUUGACGGACUGUCAAUGCCCAAUUGGCAAUCCUAUGAUCAGGAACAUUUAGGAUGUGUCAACGAAAGAAUGGUCUCAUGAAUCUAACUUCAUUAGAUUGCAUUCUCCCAAUCACAUAUUCCUUGGACUUUAUCGUUUAAGCAUAUAACAUUUAUAUGAGACGGCUCAAACAAUAAUCUUUGCCCUUUAUAUUAAACUAUAUUAGUUUAACAUGUGAAAUGUCCGUAAAGUAUCAUCACAUGAUUGGUUUUAGGGCACAUUUCCAACAGCAUUCAUGAUUCAUCUUUCAAAAAGACUAUUAGGGCAAGCCACACAACUCCCAUUUUCAAAGCGUUUGCCCUUACUCUCUGUCUGUAUGGGUUUCACGAACCCACUGACUGGAUACCCUUUUUGUUAGUUCUAGGAUUCAGCUUCGUACUUAUGGCGUAGUCAAGGCCUUGACACAUGUUUGUACCAUACUUAGGGCCUCCGUAUUUAGAUCUCGUAUAAAUACUCGGGGGACUCAAAUAUAAUUAUGUAAUAAAGGAAGGGGCAAAUAUGUAAUAAGUGAGGAGCCCUUAUUCUCUAAAAGGACUCCUCACUCUCUUCAUUAAGGGAGAGCCUCACAUCCCUUUUCAUAUUCAGAGAAGCUCAUCCUCACAUAAGGAAGCUCUCUCUCCCUCUCAAUCCUAUCACAAACAGAGAAAUACAAAUAUUAGUAUGGACGUAGCCUAAACAUUGGGGUGAACCAUGAUACAUAUUGUGUUAUUUACUUUCAUGCAGAUUCACGGUCAGAUUUACGUUAUUCCAAGACCCCUUCGAUUUUGUGCAUCAACAUUUGGCACCGUCUAUGGGAAACGAUACUAAAAGUUGUGUCGGUUCUCUUUCAUUUUUUCACCUCCACCGUGAAUCUGUAAAAACCCAAGAACCAAAUUACCCAACACCCACACUCAGAGACACACCCAUUCAAUCUACAGAGAGAGAGAGAGAGAGAAGAGAGAGAGAGAUUUUAAAAUGCAUCAACAUUUGGCGCCGUCUAUGGGAAACGAUACUAAAAGUUGUGUCAGUUCUCUUUCAUUCUAUCGAAGCAGAUAAUCUUAAUGCGGCACGGCAAGUCCCAAGGGAAUCUCUGACUACCACACCUGUCAACAUCAUACUACCAUGAUAACACGUUCAACAAUUCCUUAAUUUUCAAACAAUGGAAGCCUCCUCGAAAUUCCAUGUUGUUUCUGUGAUUAUUGUUGCGUUGGGAUUAUUCCUCCUAAUAGACAACGGAGUUGAAAAAAUGGAUGAGAAGCUGUUUUCGCACACUACUCAUUCGUCCUUAACUCCCACCUGAAAAGCUUUAUUCAAACAAAAUGCACGCAGAGUCUGCGUUCCGAGUUCCGAUGGACUCGUCCUCCUCAUCCUUAGCUCCAUCAGCUUCCUCUGUGCACUUAGCCAU